UACGAGUGCCCCCAAGCGUUUAUCCGGAAUCAUUGGGCGUAAAGGGUGUGUAGGCGGUAGUGUUAGUCCUCUGUCAAAUUCUUCGGCUUAACCGGGGGGUCCGCAGGGGGAAACGGCACAACUAGAGGAUGCGAGAGGUGAAUGGAACUCAUGGAGUAGGGGUGAAAUCCGUUGAUAUCAUGGGGGAACACCGAAAGCGAAGGCAAUUCACUGGCGCACGUCCUGACGCUGAGACACGAAAGCGUAGGUAGCGGAAUGGGA
rnacentral:rRNA from 1 species